rnacentral:rRNA from 1 species
UACGGAGGGUGCGAGCGUUGUCCGGAAUCACUGGGCGUAAAGGGCGCGUAGGCGGUCUGCUAAGCGUGCGGUGAAAGCCUGGGGCUCAACCCCAGGUCUGCCGUGCGAACUGGUGGACUUGAGCACUGUAGAGGCAGGUGGAAUUCCGGGUGUAGCGGUGGAAUGCGUAGAGAUCCGGAAGAACACCGGUGGCGAAGGCGGCCUGCUGGGCAGUAGCUGACGCUGAGGCGCGACAGCGUGGGGAGCAAACGGG